rnacentral:rRNA from 1 species
UACGGAGGGGACUAGCGUUGUUCGGAAUUACUGGGCGUAAAGCGCACGUAGGCGGAUUGUUAAGUCAGGGGUGAAAUCCCGAGGCUCAACCUCGGAACUGCCUUUGAUACUGGCAAUCUCGAGUCCGGAAGAGGUGAGUGGAAUUCCUGGUGUAGCGGUGAAAUGCGCAGAUAUCAGGAGGAACACCAAUGGCGAAGGCGGUUCUCUGGGACGGUACUGACGCUGAGACGCGAAAGCGUGGGGAGCGAACAGG